UACAGAGGUCCCGAGCGUUGUUCGGAUUCAUUGGGCGUAAAGGGUGCGUAGGUGGCGCUGUAAGUGGGGUGUGAAAUCCCGGGGCUUAACUCCGGAACUGCAUUCCAUACUGCGGUGCUUGAGGACUGGAGAGGAGACUGGAAUUUACGGUGUAGCAGUGAAAUGCGUAGAGAUCGUAAGGAAGACCAGUGGCGAAGGCGGGUCUCUGGACAGUUCCUGACGCUGAGGCACGAAGGUCAGGGGAGCAAACGGG
rnacentral:rRNA from 1 species